GAUCUUUCACGUACAGAGUUUUUUCAUCUACGUCGUUCGAAACAUCAUGUCAUUAUCUACGCUUUCAUCGAAGCACAAAUUAUCAUCGUAACCAUACACACCGCGUUAUAACUCCCAUUUUCCUUCGUGGAACAAUAAAAGCUUACGAGUAUGUGUCACGUUUGGUUCUUGCUUUUACCACGCAUAUAAAUUGAACCUGACUUGCAUAUAUAUAAAACGGAACGUCGUUUUGUCUGUUUUUAUUCGGAUAAAAAUUAAUCGAUUUAUCCUUGACGCUAGGAAGGUAUCCGUUCGAUCAACGUUUCAAAUUUAACACUUGACGUCAUGGACAUUAAGAUUUGAAACAGCAAUAUUAAAUGUUACAAUAAAAAAUAUAUUGAUCUUCUAAAACACAAUUCACAUAAAGCAACAUGAAUUUAUAUAAAUUACAUUUCAUAAGUUUUCACUGGCUUUGUUAUAACACGUACGAACUCGUUCCAUACAUCGCUCUCAUUCCACGUUACUUUCUACGAAUAAUUGGAUCACUCGACUAUGUGUGUGUAGAAAUAAAUUAACUUCGCUGUCUUUAACAAGAUCUUGACUAGUAUCGACGGAAGCUCGUACGAAUAAAGUUCUCACAAUAUACGGCACUGGCCUUGCACUCUCUCACGUAGGUACUUUUCGACUGAAAGCAAGGACUUCCACUUCGCUGUACCUCCUCCUACUCUUCGAGAUGACGUUCCAGAAGAGCUAACGAGCACAGUUUCGAGCUCGUGCACUCGCUCGGGCCGACAAGUGAGCAUACACAGUAUGAAGUAUACCUGUACGAGCUACGGCACCAAAGGAAGAGAAAGUAAGUACACGAAUAUUCCGCGCUCUUUUCUCUAUUGUUUCUCUCCAUUCGAACUUAUCUCACAACCCGUCGCUCGCAGCAUGCGUAAUCCUUGAAUCAUCCAAUGAAAUUUCGAGAGAUGGAAUACACCGAUAACGAACGUCCCCAAACAACAUCGGGAAAGUUUUAAAACGACUUAUUGCCAAUUAGGUAGCAUGCUUUUUCUCUGUCUUUUUCUUUUUAUCCACGAGAACAAUUUCACAAUAUCGUCACUGUCUACCAUUAAAAUUUUUGUUUUCAAACGAUACCUGUCGACUCUCGAUUUGGAUGAUAAAAAACGAAUGAGACAUUUUUCGGUGAAAGGACCAAACCAAUGGCGACCACUCAAUGACUGAUUUGAUUCGUAUUUUGAUAUAAACUCACGAUAUGAUAGAUAAUCCGCCUACGAGGACGGCUCGCCGCAGACUGACCAUACGUUCUCUUUCCACUUGGCCCAUUGUCAGCUAGCGAUCUUUACUACCCCUUCCACGAUGCAUUCUCAUAGACUCUCUUCAUCCACCUGCUUCUCCGCAAGAACGACAGGGCUGCAGAAUAAUGUAAACCCAAUUCUAAUUGGGGAAAUAUGCCUUGAUUUCCACCAAGCACUCCAAAGCUAUAAAUUCGUACGAUAAUCUCCAAAUCUAUUAAUACGUCGGCUUAUGUAUCCCCUCAUCGUUCUUAUCUAAGCUCUCCACCUAAUACGACUGAUUCGUACCACACAGUAUCGAUAGAGUAAACCGAAAAUUAAUGAAUGAUAAAUCUUACACACAUAUUAAUUCGAUACUCUCGUUCAAACUCGUUUUUUCGACUCAUUGAAAAACAACGAGGGCACUCUUCACCGUCUCUCUUAUACCAUAUCAUAUUCUAUGGGAACAAUUGGCCUCUAUCGAACGUACUCAACAGUCAUUCCUACGGUUACUAUAGAACCGGUAAUAGAGCCAAACGGGGUGACACGUUAAUCGUGUCGUCCGUAAUUCAACUUAAUAAGUCUCAAUGAGAUAAACGUGACCCUUGUUAUAAUUUUAUGACCGGCCUAUUAUUACCAGUCUAAUAACGUCAUUCGUCAUUUCUCUAUUGUGAAUCGUAUUCGUCUUGUUGAGAGAAAACUACGAAAAAAAAAAUGUUUUUCUUACUUAGGUCGUAAUAUAUACAAUUACGACGUACAAACGCAAUAUAUUAUUUAUAAUUAGAUGUAAUAUGUAUAUAAUAUAUAAAACACACAUACGUGCAUGUAUAUGUACUAUAA